AUGGAAGAACUGAUGAAGGAAGCACACGCCCUGUUCUGCGGUGGCUGGGGUGUAAAAGAGUCUCAGGUUUUCAUGAGCACGCUCCAACAUCUAUUAACGGCGGCGACCCAGACCGACGACCCUGACGCCGCAAAGACGAGGUGCUGGGCGACUCCCCAGCGCUGGCUACUCACGCUAGACACGACUUCGCUGCGCGCCGCGCUGUGGAACCCCUCGACCAAGAAGAAGGUCGACCUCCCAUCAAUGGACAAGGACUUACCCCAGAACUGCAAGUGCCUGCUGUCGCGCGAGCCCGAUUCUCGGGCGGGCUGCGUGGUGCUGGUCGUCGACGACGACGAGCCAGUGAUCUGGUUCUGCCGCGUCGGAGGCGCGCAAUGGAGCAGGCAUGAGUACGACAUCACCGUCGAAAAGCCACGGGGUUCUCAUGCCGUCGUCCUGCUGAAAGACGAAGAUGAACUCGCGCGCUUCUCUCGUGACGGAGAAACAGUGCCAUCGGUAUUCGUCCUGGAGAAACACAACUGGACAGGAGUAAGAGUAUCGUCGAGUAGUGGUAAUCCCGGCGGCAGCCGUUCGGAGAGGCUCCAGAUACGGAGCAUCGCCGCCGUCGACGGCAGGUUCUACUUCGACGUGUCCGCCUCGAAGCUCGGCGUCCUCGACUUCCUCCCGGGCCCGGUGUUCACCACGCUCGACACGGAGCGACUACGAGUCGAGCGGAGCUGCUGGGAGCUGGCCUUCUCCCACCUGGUGGAAUCCCGAGGGAGGCUCUACCUGCUGGCUAUGACCGGGAGUGCUCUGUCCAGCAUGGAACUCUACGAGAUGGAUUUCUCCAAGCUCGCGUGGUCACCGGUGGAUCGCGUCUACGAUCAGGUCUUCUUCCUGGGCAGGCUGCGUUUCACGGCGUCGUGCUCUGCGUGGGAGCUUGGUCUGACGCGGGCGAGGCUUGCCUGCUCUGCGAAAAUGCUCCCAUCCGUGCUCCGUGGCAAAGCAGUAGCUCCUCCACGGCCGGCGAACACCGCGAUGUUGAUCUGCUUGCUUGUCGGAGCGGGAGGGUUUGCUCCAUGCUCGUCCCAUGGCGGCGCUCGUGAGCGAACUGCGCACCAACCCUGCGGCCACGACGUCCCUCGCCCCGCGCGGCGCUCGUAG
rnacentral:rRNA from 1 species